GAGUUUCCGCAGAUGAGCCGCGGGAAAGGAGACGAGGGGCGGUGGCCAGGCGGUUGCCCUGACAACGGGGAACCGACCGACUCUUCCCGGUAGGGAGAGGCGAUGGCGGAAUUACUCCUCUAAUGUCAAGGUAUUCUAAUCACAGAAUUACUGGAGCAUCAAGAAGUGCCUGCAUGCUUGGAAGGGCUUCCAGGCAGAUGAACACACCUCAGCACCGGGUGGCAUUUUCCCAGGGUGCAACCCGGACCGGCUCUGGGUCACACUGACAAGUGCACCCCUCCUGAGCUGAAGUGUUCCUGUUCUCUCUGCAGCCUCUCCGACUCCCCAGGCUGGGUUGGGUGCUCCUCCCUCUCAUCCCACAGCGCUAUGUCUCAUGUCUUCUGGAAAACUUGCCAAUCCCUAGUGACAACAGGGUUAACAAUUUCCAGAGACAGCCCGUACAUAGAAGGAAUGUUUACUGAAAAAAAUGAAGAGGGGUCAGGGCAAGGCGAGGAGCAAGAAGCACCCCCAAGGAAACAGAGAAGACCAGUACAACUGUACCUCUUUGCCAGCUGCACCAUCCGUACCAGGUGGCACGUUCCAGAGCCAUAGCCUCUGUUCUAUUCAUCUCCAGUCUCCUGGGGUGGAAGUGUCCAGCACAGAGACUGCCACACUGCAAGACGAAGGGGCUGGACACACGGAAGAGAGAGGCGGAACCCUGCACCCCCUCAACCUCAGCCCUACUGAGUCUCCAAUGGGGCCACGCUUCUGAGUGCACCUCCCCGUGUCAUCUGUAAUGUGAGGGGGAACCAGGCUUGAUAUGGCAUUCCCAAUCCAGGGCCUCUGGACCCCUUGAGAUGCAUAAA
ensembl:lncRNA PEF1-AS1 PEF1 and COL16A1 antisense RNA 1